rnacentral:rRNA from 1 species
UACAUGGGGUGCAAACGUUGCUCGGAAUUAUUGGGCGUAAAGCGCACGUAGGCGGUUCGUUAAGUCGGAUGUGAAAGCCCUCGGCUCAACUGAGGAAGUGCACCCGAAACUGGCGAGCUUGAGUACGAAAGAGGAUCGCGGAAUUCCCGGUGUAGAGGUGAAAUUCGUAGAUAUCGGGAGGAACACCGGUGGCGAAGGCGGUCUGCUGGGCAGUAGCUGACGCUGAGGCGCGACAGCGUGGGGAGCAAACAGG